ensembl:lncRNA
UCAGGGUGACGAUUCUGUGUACAGCAGCUCUGCCGGUUCAGAGGAAUACUCCAGCCUGCUUCAUCAUCCUUCAUCCUGCUGCAGAAUGACCCGCUUGGAUCCACCAUCGCACCAGGCAAGCCCCCGUGGCUGGACGGAGGUGUCUCAAAGUGGCCGUGAUGGUUUUGGGAAGUUCAGUUUUUCUCACGGCAGUGUGACGGAACGGAGGGAAUGGGAGAGUGAAUAUUUCUCUCUGGGAAGGGCUGUGGGCAGCAGAGCUUUCUGUGAUCAAAGCCCUUCUACUCCCUAUCGGCAUUCAGAGAGAGGGCAUCCCCUGCCUAGCAACAAAAGCCCCGAACCCAAAGCCACCAUUCCAUUUCGGAACCCGAAUCUGGGCGUCCCUUCGGAAAGGAGAACCUCUGAGUUCCAGAAUGCAGAGCAGCUUGCAGAAAACUAUCCUCCGCAGUAUCCUCCAGAACCGCUGGAUCUCGGCCUGGAGGUUGAGGCCCUCGCAGGUCCCCGGGCCCUGAGUCCCACCCCUUUCAAGCAAGCUGAAUCUUUCGGGGCCUCCAGUCGAAGAGGUGGACGAAAUGCCCACACGUCUCCCUUACGGAAAUCGGGAAUACUUAACUCUUCCCAAAGAGGUUCUGGCCUCUCCUGUUCCUCCUCUCCCUCCCAUAGUACCUCCCCGUUCAGACGGGCCGAGUCCAGCGGCUCUCUCAACACGGUUGGCUUUUGGUCUAGUGGAGAUUCACACGGACAGGAUCGGCCAUCGGUCAGCCUGGCACGGAGCAGUUACUCUGGAAACCUCAGAUCGUUUGCAAGCACUGUGGGCAGCGUCAGUAGCAUUAAUAAGUCUCUGUCGUACAUGGAUCUGAGAGGCACUUUGCAGAAACCCGAGACCAACAGCUCCUUCAUUGGGUCUACAGAGAACCGUGGAAGCUUGUCCCCUUCCAGACGGAGUUAUGACAGUCCUGCUGUUAGGAAAACUGAAACAAAAAGCCCUUCUUACGAGCGUGGCCACAACAGACAGAGUGCCUUCUCCUCAGUGGGCCGCCAUGAUUCAAGAAGCCAGUCCCCUUCCAGACAGAGUUAUGAUAGCCCUGCUGUUAGGAAAACUGAAAUGAAAAACCCUUCUUAUGAGUGUGGUCAUGACAGACAGGGUUUCUCCUCCUCCUCCUUGAAGAGCCGCUAUGAUUCCAGAAGCCAGUCCCCUGUGGGGAAGCUGGAGACAAAUGGCUCAUCAAGUCAGAUUCAAGAGGGUCGACGAAGUGCGUCUCCAGUCAGAAAGGGCUACGGAACACCAAGCCAAUCGGAUAGAAGAUCCAUGUCUAAUGGAUUGAGUUAUGACAGAAAAAGCCCCUCCUCACCCAGAAAAGGCUAUGAAAUGCAAAGCCAAGCCACAAUGAAGAAACCAGAGACAAAGAGCUCCCUUCACAGCUACAACCUAGACAGCCGACACUCUUCCCCAAGUAGAGGUCAUCACCAAAACCCUGGCCCAUCAUCGCUUCGUAAGUCCGAAACAAGCCAGUCCUCAUUAAACAUUGGUCCCAAGAGCCACAGUCCCUCCCCCUUAGCUCAUAUCCAAUCUCUUCCUCACAAGUCAGAGAGUGGUCAGAGUCCCUCUGUGUCUACAUUGAGGCGUGAGAUUGCAGACCACAUCUCUCUGAGGAACACUGUGAGUGACAGAACUGGCUCCACCUCUUAUGUAAGAAACACCCUGAGUAGCCAAUCACAGCAUGAUUCAAACCCUUCAUCAGGCCGCUGGAGAGGCUCCACCCACUCUCUCCACAGCCAGUCAGUCUCACGUAACUCCUCCCCAUCACGCCACAGCAGCGAGAAGAAACAAAUCAGCUCCUUUACCAAAUCUGCCCUUGUUGCCUGGGAAACGCCACAAGACGGAAACAAGAAGAGCAGCAUAAGGCAGAACCCAGAGGUACAAAGCUCCACGCCCAACAGUCGACAGGCACAGAGCCGACAGAGAAGCCCCUCCGCUCCGGUCCAAAGACACACGUCUUCUCAGAGCUCCAUGGACUCUGAGUCAAGCCAUCUCUCGGCCGGGUCAUUGGGCCUCAACCGGGAGGAAAAUGCCAUGAUGGCUGACCUUCCCAAGGCCAAAACGGUCUUCCAGAGGGAGGGUCCGAGCCACCUGAGGAAGAUUGAGAGCAGUCAGAAACAAGAACUUUCCCGCUACAAACCAGCCAGUCACUCCCAGAGCAAAGCUCCUCACUUGGGAUGGGACAAACUAAAGGAUGAAAGAGACAGUGGUACACUAUUAAGGGCUCACUCGUCCAGCUCCCUACACACACAGAGAGCCAGCAGUCCGGCCGCGGAGCAGACUCAGUCCGGCAGAGCAUCAGGACAGAAGCAGGUGCAGUAAUGCCACCGUCUGCCUGCGGAGGCGCUGUGGGUUCACCGCUGCUCACUGUGUGUUUGCGCUGCUGAAAGCGCACAGGCCGUCCGUGUAUUUCUCCUGCAGCGUAGAAACAGACCGAUGAAGAACCAAUGCAACAGGCACGUCAUGACCACACGACACUCACCAUUAAAGAGACCGUUCACUCACAAUUAAAAACUCUCGAUAACAUUUACUCACCACAUUGUUGUACCAAACCCGUAUGACUUUCUUUGUUUCAUAGAGCACAAAAGGAAAUUCGAGGCAGAAUGACAGCUGGGUGAAGUAUCGAUUCUCACAUAAAAAUAUUGAACCUAAAGUGCAUUUUUAAUCAUUAAUUUUAUUAACUUAGCAAGAAAUUUGGUGCAUAAAAUAAUAAUAAUUCUAAGUGGAAAAACGUAAUAUUAGCAAAUAAUAAGUGUAGGAUAGAACUAUUUCUCCCACUCAUCAGAACCAAGUGGCCACCUCGCGCUCUCUCUCGUGAAGCCAAUAAGGAAGUGACUUAAACUGUAAUUCAUCGACUGGCCACUAAAGGCUGGCUGCAAAAGGGAGUCAGUCCCAAAGACUCCCUAUGUUAAAAUGCCCAACUUUACAGCAGAAAAAAACAUGUUUACAGUCUGGUUCAAAACAUGAUUUUGGUCUAUAUAGCUAAUAUUGCCCUUCAUGACAACUGUGAGGGGGGGUGAAUUUUUUUAUAACUAAUCUGUUUAAAUUAUAUUAAGUCUUACAGUUCUGCAUAAUUAAGGGCGUGGCCACUUGAGUGACAGGUGGAUUGCCGCUGCUGACACCCCCGUCGAGAUAGGUGGGCGUGGCUUCAGCAACCAGCUCCUGCCUUUUUGCCCAUUUUCCAAGAUGGUGACGGCCCGCUCCGCCCACUUUGAGCUUCAGAAACACUCUUCAGAAAUCAAUGGAUGACGUCACAGACACUACGUCCAUGUUUUAAAGUCUAUGAUCGGAAAAUACGCAAAUUCCGAAAGACAGAACCAAUCAAUUACAGACAGCGCUCGCUGCUGACGCUUUGCUCACAGUGUUUGUUCAAAUAGGGCUGUGUUUCCCAAAAGUUAUUUUUAGUUGUUAUAUUUCUCUAUAUUGCUGAUUUUACUGUAUUUUUAUUAAAAUAAGUGCAGCCUUGGUUAUCUUGUACAUGUAAUAUUUAUUUUAAUUAUGCUGUGCAAGUAAUUAUAUUUAAUCUGGUUGUUAAAAGUUAUUUUCUGUAAUUGCUGUUAAUAAAUCUAUCAGAAA